rnacentral:snRNA from 9 species
ACGUCUACCUGGCGUCGGGAUACCGUGAUCAUGCAGGCGGUUCCCCCGGGGUGCGGCUGCUCUAUUGCACUGCGGAGUAGUUGACCCUUGCGAUUAUUUUUAUAUUUUAUAAGUUUCUGUCCGUGUCUGGCUUGCACACACACACA